CCUACGGGUGGCAGCAGUGGGGGAUAUUGCACAAUGGGGGAAACCCUGAUGCAGCGACGCCGCGUGAGUGAAGAAGUAUUUCGGUAUGUAAAGCUCUAUCAGCAGGGAAGAAAAUGACAGUACCUGACCAAGAAGCCCCGGCUAACUACGUGCCAGCAGCCGCGGUAAUACGUAGGGGGCAAGCGUUAUCCGGAUUUACUGGGUGUAAAGGGAGCGUAGACGGUUAUGUAAGUCUGGAGUGAAAGCCCGGGGCCCAACCCCGGGACUGGUUUGGAAACUGUGUAACGGGAGUACAGGAGGGGCGGGAGGAAGUCCGGGGGAGGGGGGGAAAGGAGAAGAGAUCAGGAGGAACA
rnacentral:rRNA from 1 species